rnacentral:RNase_P_RNA from 1 species
AUACUCGGGUAAUCGCUGUAUGGUUCACCAUGCAGAGGAAAGUCCAUGCUCGCACAAGCUGAGAUGCUUGUAGUGUUCGUGCUUGACGAAACCAUAAGUCAAGGGAGUUCUUAGAACUAACGGCAAGGAAAAUUCCUACGUCUUUAGAUAUGGAAUGACUACUUUGAAAGUGCCACAGUGACGGAGCCGUAGUAGAAAUACUGCGGGUGGAACGAGGUAAACCCCACGAGCGAGCAACCCAAAUAUAGGUAGGGGCACUCUCUGAAAGGAAAUGAACAGAAGGAGAGGUCGUUUUACGGCAGAUAGAUGAUUGCCACCGGAGUACGAGGUUGACCACCGUUUGUAGUACAAUGGAACAGAACAUGGCUUACAGAG